UGCAGUCGAACGAGAACGGUUCCUUCGGGAACCAAGUAAAGUGGCGAACGGGUGAGUAAUACAUAGACAACUUACCCCCGAGACGGGGACAACCACUCGAAAGGGUGGCUAAUACCCGAUACUGCCUGGAGUCGGUGGAUUCCAGGUGAAAGAAGGCCUCUGUUUCAAGCUUUCACUCGAGGAGGGGUUUAUGUCCUAUUAGCUAGUUGGUGAGGUAACGGCUCACCAAGGCGACGAUGGGUAGCCGGCCUGAGAGGGUGACCGGUCACACUGGGACUGAGACACUGCCCAGACUCCUACGGGAGGCUGCAGUCGAGAAUCUUCCGCAAUGCGCGCAAGCGUGACGGAGCGACGCCGCGUGGGUGAUGAAGGCCUUCGGGUUGUAAAACCCUGUUACCUACUAUGAACAAUUGGUGGUGAAUAACCAGCCAAACUGACGUAAGUAGGAGAGGAAGCACCGGCUAAAUACGUGCCAGCAGCCGCGGUAAUACGUAUGGUGCGAACGUUAUUCGGAAUUACUGGGCAUAAAGGGCGCGUAGGCGGUUUGGUAAGUCUGUAUGUGAAAUCCCUCGGCUUAACCGAGGAACUGCAUCGGAUACUGCCAGACUAGAGUGCAGGAGGGGAGAGCGGAAUUCCUGGUGGAGCGGUGAAAUGCGUAGAUAUCAGGAGGAACGCCAGUGGCGAAAGCGGCUCUCUGGUCUGCAACUGACGCUGAGGCGCGAAAGCUAGGGGAGCGAACGGGAUUAGAUACCCCGGUAGUCCUAGCCCUAAACGAUGGGCACUAGGUAGAGGAAGUUUUAGAGCUUUCUCUGCUGUAGCUAAUGUAUUAAGUGCCCCCGC
rnacentral:rRNA from 1 species